AGCGAACGCUGGCGGCAGGCCUAACGCAUGCAAGUCGAACGAACCUUUCGGGGUUUGUGGCGGACGGGUGAGUAACCCGUGGGAACGUUCCUUUAGGUUCGGAAUACCUCAGGGAAACUUGUGCUAAUACCGAAUGUGCCCUUCGGCGGAAUGAUUUAUCGCCCUUAGAGCGGCCGGCGUCUGAUUCGCUAGUUGGUUGAGGUAAUGGUUCACCAACGCGACGAUCAGUAGAUGGUCUGAGAGAAAGAUCAGAGACAUUGGGACGGAGACACGGCACAAAAUCUUACGGGAGGCAGCAGUGGGGAAUCGAGCGAAAUGGGCGAAAGGAUGAAGGAGCCAGGAUGGGAGAAUGAUGAAGGUCUUAGGAUUGUAAAAUGCUUUCAACGGGGACGAUAAUGACGGUACCCGGAGAAGAAGCCCCGGCUAACUUCGUG
rnacentral:rRNA from 1 species